ACUAUCAUAGUUUAUACAAAACAAUAAUUUGUGGAAUUAUAAAUAAACUAAUCAAA
rnacentral:tRNA from 1 species